UAGUUCUUUCUAGCCCCCAGGGGCAGAAAUGUCAGAUUGGUGGAAGCUGUCCUGAACAGAUGGCUGCUUGUCUCGGCUCGGUUUGAGAGGGAGGGAAUAUUGCCCACAACCCAAUACUAUCAGGCUUAGCACCCUUUCAUCUGAUGCUAUUUGCAUUUCAUUUUCCUUUUCUCAAAGGACGUGGAGGAUGAGGGUUUCCUGACUUAACAUGCCAGACCCACUUCCUUGAAUCAUGGAUGUGCAGUGAUUGGGCUCCUGGAUUCACUAGUCAGCUGUCAUCUGUGAAAUUGGAACAUAACCUCGAACCGAUGCAAUUUGUUACGUUAACUGGAACGAUGAGUAAAGCAGAAUCAUAAGGCACGGAAGUGAAACUAGGCAGCAGCUAAACCUUCUCCGUAUCUACACCAGGAGGAUGCAGCGAGCUCCAUCUCGGUACGGCUUUCAGCGCUGGGGCUUACCCGAACUAAAUGAACCCAAGCAAGAGUGACAUUGGUUUAAAUGCAUUGAGGGUUCACAUCUGGCUUCACUAGACUGAUGUCUGAACUGAUGUGGUUAGGACGGUGCCUUUGUUAGUACAGAUGAGGACCAAACUCAUGGCUGGUGGUCCAUGUUGCUCUUCCCCAGGGUUUAUUAGGACCAGUUUCCAUCAGGGGGCACCAACCAGAAGCCAGCAGAGUUUGUAUCUUGAAUAUUGUGGAAGCCCGGUUCCUGUGUGGCUGUGCCAGCUGGAUCUCCCUGCUCCAAACUCUGCCAGAUGAGGUGGGCUUUACAGAGGACUGACAAAAUCGUCAGCUUCUGUCAAACAACAAAGCAAAAAAGGAAACCGAUUUAGGCAUGCUCAGGCCAUGCUAAUUAUGCAGAAGCACGCAGAAAAUAAAAAUACCCGGUGAGCUCCAAGAACUGGCUGGCAACCCAAUUACUACCCUGGAGGUGGGUAGGGGAAAACAGAAUUGAAAUGUCGUUUUCAGACAUAAUCUGCUUAUUUUAAUAGACCAUUCAACCUAACCAGUUGCUGUUUUCCUCCCCUCUCUACCACAGACCAAUAGAGAAGGCACUUCUCUAGGUCUGAGCUCUUUGCUGAGUCUAUUGUACGUGUAAUAGACCCAGAUUGCUGUGCCUGGAAAUAUUUCAGCCCUCCCCUCCCUCUUUGCCCUCGUUCACUUCUUGUGAUGUCACAUUAUGAAAUGAUCGUGAUUCACUUUGCAGUUGCCAUGGCGAUGCUAGCUAUGCUCAUGUGCUCAGAACCAACACGUUCGCUGCAGCCUGCACCGGGAGCGAUUCGGAGACGGCGGGUUGGAGGCCAGAGCCGGUGCUGGUGAGCAGCUGUGGGAAGUGUCACAGACAAUAGCUGUGUCUGAUUUCACAAGAAAGUCACUUGGGUGCAAGGCUAUUAAGGAGACUGCAACAAUUCAGGCAGGAGAGGUCAAAAGAGUGGUCACCUUCAGCAAUCAAUAUCGUGAGUAAUUUAGCCUUCUGCAGCUCUGGACAGCCAAGAGGUUUAACGCACUUGCGCUUUAAGCCUCACGGCCCCCCUCUGUGAUGGGCAGCGUUAUCCACAUUUGGCAGAGGGCAAAAUGGAAGUGCAGAAAAGGUGGGCGAUUUUCUCAAGGUCGUACAGGCUGUGGCAGAGCUGCAAAUAGCCCUCGACUCCCUGCGCGGGGCUUCAGGCACGAGAGCACAACUUGCAGGGUCUCUGCUGCAAUAAAGAACAGGAAAGCACAGAGCGACCUGUCAUUUGGGGCCCAGUCCUUCAUGGACUCUCGAGCAGGUGGAGCCCCUUCGAAGGAGUCCUUAGGGCCCUGUGCUGUGGUCUGACGGCAUCCCAUUCAGUGCAAGGCUGGGCUGGGACUUGGCACCUGCUUCAGCUUCAUCUCUUGGCUGCUUCCUGUGUCUAACCGGCCCUGUCGUUAAAUAAAUAAAUAACCGUGGGUGGGUCGGAGCUGUUGAGACUUGCUUCAGAUUAAAACUGGGUGAUCCUUCCAGCAGAAGUUUUGUCUGCACGAACCUAGGAAUGUGCCCGUCGGUUUAUCGUUGAGCAAAAUUGUUAGCGUGGUUUUUUUUCCCCCUGCUCGAUAUCACCCCAAAAAAGAAAACCCACCUAUUUAAAUGCAUCUCUCCAUCUGUUUGAUUGUAUAUUCCAGCAAAAGUUGAAGGUAGGAGCAGUGCAGCAGUCUUCAAAUGUGGGCUUCAUAGCUUGAGAAAUGCUGGGAGUUUUCCUGAGCGUUUCCUGGGCUGGCUUAUAUUCUGAGUGUUGAAGGGCAUGGAAAGGGCCUUUAAUGCAGAUUUAGCUGAAGAAUUUUGUUUGUGAAGAUCUUCAGUGGAAUAGUUUUUUGUGUGGGGCAAUAUCGGAGAGUCCUAAAACCAAGACAGGCCUUGUACUCUUCGAGAUGUGGGUCAAGCAAGGUCAUUACACCUUAAUCACUUCCGUGACGAGUGGUGCACGUUAACAUUUUUCAGCGUCAACAAACGUAAGAGCAUUGACAUGUCGCAUGAAAAAUCAGGCGUCGAGUCAGCGGGCAGAUUCAAUAUAGGUUGGGGGUUUUUUAUAGCACCGUUGAAAGACAGGAUGAGAUGGAGCCCUAGAGGGACUCGGUGAAGGGCUCGACUGUUCUCCUUGGCCGGCAGUGAGGUGCUUGCUGCAGCAAAGGAAACCACAAGCACAUCACGUCAUGGCAAAGGAUGAAUGUUGUACCAAAAUAACAGGCGAAAACCAGCGGGCAGGACUGAUUGUAAAUCCAGCCAACCGACAAGGUAGCUGCGUUUUGAGCACAUGAAUGUGACUUUACCUGCGAGUUGGAAUAAUUUAGCUUCAGAUUCUCUUCCACGUGGAUUCUUAGUACUUGCUCAUUGCUGUAGUAUCCAAAUGCUUUUUCGUAGAGCAUUAAGUGAUGCGUCUAAUACUGGUCAGGUGUGGCUCAUAUCUUAUUUCAUUCUUCCCCCCUGCAAGGGGAGAUGCGUAAGUGCGGGGUUCGGUUUUGUGUGUCAAAAUGCAUGUGCACGCUCUGUUUGCUCAAGAAGACAAGGCAAAGAAGUGCAACUUGCUUGCAGUGGUAUGUUCCAAAUAUUAUUAAGUGCUGCACGUAUUUGUGAGAGAGCCUGAUCCUGCCCCCACUGAAGAACAGGGCAUAAAUCCCAUUGAUUUAAAAGGAAGUAGCCUCACGCCCGAAGUUCUGUAACUCUGGACUGAAUCCACGCAAGUCAGGUUGGACUCCAACCAUACUGAUGGUAUCCAGGUGACUGCAGGAACUGGAGGUGUUUAGACUUGCUUUUCCAUUUGGCAUUAUCUUCAAAAUGAGCCGAUGCCUUAAAUAUUGCAACGGGGGUGCGGGGGUGAUAGCAAUAAAGUUUUCUGUACAAGUCAAAGCAGGGCAUGUAAGCUUCCUUAUAUUAUGCUGCCCUGGUGUCUCAACCUGAUUCAUAGCUCAACCUACCGGGUUCAUUAGCUGCAUCUGAUUUGGCCCUUCCGGCUCCCAUAGCUUACAAGGAGUCGGUCCAAGGGCUGCAGUGCUUGUAUGAUGUUAAGUGGACACAGAGCUGUACCUAACAAACUCCGUUCGCUCUGGUGACCAAAUAGCCCUUGGUUAUUGCUAGUCGGCACCCAGGGCUCAAUUCAAAGCUGUCAACUCUAGGUGAAAGGUCUUAGGCUGCUGCUCCUCCUCUGAGAGCAGCUUGACCUGGUGGAGCGAUAUUGUUCAUGAUUAUACGGCAAUGAUUUGGAGUACUGCAGAUCCUGCUAGAGAUCCCCAGUGUUUAGAGCAAUGCUACAGGGCACAGUUUUAUGUUUUUCGUUAGGGUGUUCCCCCUCUUGCAUAUUUGUAGGCUUUUGCCAAGAGCUUUAUUGUGUUAAUAAAUGACCUGGGAGCAAAGGGAGGCUCAAAUUCAUUCUGAGGUCUUCGCUGCUCUUUGUAAACCGCUUGAGCUGAACUCCUUGCACAUUAGGAAGUCAAUUGGUCCCCUGGAGUGAUCUGCACUCUCGCGUUCUUGCUCAGGGCCAUUUGUUAUCUGUUAUCUUACUCUUCACACAGGGAGUAAUGGUAUAAUCCAGAAAUGGCACCCCAUUCCUGGGCCAUCACGGGAGAGAACCGUCUAGGUCAAAUAAAUCAUCCAUACAUCUUAGGCUGAGCAGGUGUUUUCCCAAGAUAUGGCUGGAAAAUUGUGUCUUCACACAUCCCACAGGGAGACUGGAACAAAGUGGCUCCAGUUUUGUUCCCACGCUAACACCUACCUCCAUGCCGAAUUCUCCAGCAAAUGCAAAUAUUUAGUGAAAAUAAAGAUGUAGGAGCCUUAAGAAGACGUUGGUAGCAGUCCGCUGUUAAUUUCUAAAGGUAAUAUUUUGGGCAGUUUAGUGUAUUGUUGUUGCAAAAGGGAUAUUGUUUUACUGGAAGGCAAAUGUACCGGUGCCUUGAAGCUUGUACAUCUCUGUCCACAAGCAAGGUACUCAUUUAGUGGUACAAACAUGCUGUGUAUUUUAAAACGAGUCUAUUGCUGUGUCACCAAGGAGGGCAUGGGCAUGAACAUAUAGGGAUACAUCCCUUUGGUGUUCAAUUAGAUUUUUUUUUUAAUUAUGGUUUUCUUCUGCCGUUUGAUUAUUCAUUGCAUUCCAAUACAAUUUACACAGCGGUGUGGAAGUUGGAAGUAGUCAUUCUCGCUUUGUACAGCUGUGCAUUUGCUAUUCAAUAGACUGUUACUUUCUAGCAUGUCUAUCAGGAAACAUUGCUUUACCUGGAAAGCUGGUUUGUUGGGGUUUUUUUUUAAAUGCAUCAUUAGUGAAAACAAGAAAUCAAGAAUCCUCUACAAAAAGCUUUUAAAGAAAGUGGGUUUAAAAGCAAUUUUAUUUUGUCUGCAGGAGCACUCUCUGAGUGCAUCUCAUUUUUUUUAUUUUAUGGUUUUUGUGGUCAUCAGUUCCAUUAUGGGAACACCCAAAAUGCUUUCCAAACACACAGGGAGAUAUACUCACUGUUCUUUAUCUCUUUGGCAGGGAUGGGAAAACAAGAACAAAGGCAAAUAUAGGAUGUUCAAACAAAAUAUCCUGUCAUGGCAAUGUGUAUGGAAAACCCAUAUUUUAAGUACUGUUGUAUCCUUAUGCUCUGGAAAACAAUGGCUCUAGCACAUUAGGAAUAAAUUAACUUAUUGCCUGCAAA